rnacentral:lncRNA from 1 species
CUAUGUGGACUUUGCUGCUGAGUCAGUGUGAGACCUUGAACAAGUCUCUGUUUGUUUCGUACCAUUCAGAUUUCCUCGUCUGUAAACAUUAAGUAUCUACAUUCACUAAAAGUAGUUCUGAAUGAAUGUUAUUUAAUGGUGCCAAUGAUGUUGGAGGAUACCUGUGCAUCUCAUGCUGUGGUUACAGCAUCAAUUGUGAUGAAUAUAGGAUACUGAGUCCCUCCUAGAAAUGACUUCAGGAACUUCACCCCCCAACUCCACAAUCUGGGAAUGGCAGACAGAUUCAGCACCAGGAGAACAUCACAUAAAGGACAAGUGUGUAUGUUUAAAAAUGGCAAGUUUCGGCCUGGCAUGGUGGCUCACGUCUAUAAUCCCAGCACUUUGGGAGGCUGAGUCUAAGUGUACAGUGCUUGUAAAGUCUGCAGUAGCAUACAGUAAUGUCCAAGGCUUUCACAUCCACUCACCACUCGCUCACUGACCCAGCCAGAGCAACUUCCAGUCCUGAAAGCUGCAUUCAUGACUCAAUCACCACAAUUGCAAUCAAAAGACGGCUUUAGUUGGAACCUGGAACGUGCUAAUCCUGUCAGGCAGCCUGUGAUUCUGGAAGUGAAGGAACAAAAAAAAAAAAAAAAAGGGAAAAUUUCACAUAAAAUUUCCAUAUGAGGAAGAAGAUGGAAACUUUUGUGUUGUGCGUUCAGUAAAACGGGCACUUUCUUAAGCAGGUGGCAAAGAAAGCCUGAGAAUCCGGCCUGACUUUUUCAUUUCAGAACCCUGCAUUUCCCACACAGAGGAGAUAGAGCACAGCCAUUGCAUGGUAGAUCCAGCUUGCUCUCACAGCCAUUGUGCAAAUAAACAUACAUGUGGCAAGGCAGUGCAGUUUUCAGUUGUUAAAAGUUCUGUCAUGCCACGAGAUGGAGCAAAGGAUAAACGCUGAUGUAAACAGGCAACAGGACUCUGACUCCACACCCCUGUCUGCACGGAGGAUGCUCAGUCCUUACACAACAAAAUGUGAGAUGCUUCCAGUCACCUCCUGGCCCUGACCCCUGAGCUCCGUGCUCACCCCACUGGAGGUCCUGGCAGUUCUCCGAGCAGGCUGUACCUGUCUGGGGUGAUCCUCUCCACUUAAUGUUAGACAUUAAGUUCCCUGUGAAAUCUGUUUUGACUCACUGAGGUUAUGAAUAUUUUAUCACAACUAUCAUCAUAUACUACCAAAUCUCCAAUUUUCUUAUCUCCAUUACUAGACUGUGAGCUCCCUGGAGGCUGGACCUGGGUUUGGCACCGAGUGGCACUCAUACAUACUUCUUGAAUAAGAGAAUGUAUGUACACAGUGGCAUGAAAUUGAUUUGAAUUUGUUGGUUUUCUUAAGUGCUAAAGUUGUAGACAGUUCAGUAAAAACUAUAAAGCGGUUACCCUGUAAACCAUGAGUACUAUUAAUUGGAACCUCCUUUCUUACAUAUCCACUUGUGUUUCUGUUAAUGUUUCCAAAAUAAAUAAAGAGCAGGCUAGAGGGAAACCUCCAGUCCUUAGAAACCACGGCACAAGAAUACAUCUGUAUUUGCACUCUGAGCAAGAGACUUCCUGUUGUUGUGUAUGUUUCAUUAAGAGAUCUGGGAAAAAUUAGCCUUGUACCAGGAUCUGAACUAUAGUUUGAAAGUGUUUAGUGGGUACCAAUGUUAAUGGCAUCAUUUUUGAAUGAUAUACAGGAUAUUUUUAAACACUUUCCUUCUGUUCCAUUUUUACACUUUCAUUAUGUUUGCCAGCAUUGGGCAGUUGGUUGCAUUUACUGAAGUUUGAAUAAAAAAAUCUAAGAUGAGUUACCAAAACACCUGCUAAACUCAUCUUGCAAGAUUGGUCAAUAAUAAUUUUUAUAUUAGAGUCUCCCCUCUCUAUAGACCUUCAAUAAUUAUUUUUAACAUCUGUUUUUCACUUCCAGUGUUAUUUUAAUUUUACUUCUAUAUAGGUUUCUAUGGAUGUCAGAUGUUCCAAAAUGAUUUUUAGUUGUCAUAAGCAAAAUUGUUGUCAUUUUGAUAAAAUUCCAACAGUGGAUUCCAAUUUGUUCAUUCAAAAAUAACAUAAAUUGCUGGCAAAAGUCAGUAGAAGAUAUUAUAUUUAUAUUUACAUGGAUUAAGCUGCCAGGAGUGCUAUCAGAAAAUUUAAAUUAACAUGGAAUGGGAUGAAAUUUCCCCAAGUCAAAGAUACCAACAGAGAGGCAAAGAGAGGUGGUCAGUGGUUAAAGACAGAUGAGCAAUUAAGGUACUUUCUUCUUAAUAAAGAUUGAGUUUGUACUUUGUCUUCUUGAAGUCUGGCAGAACAUUUCACAGUAGUGGUUGGUGUUUGUAGUUUUGGAUUUCCAUAUUUGAAAACUAUACAGUACCUCCAUCAGAUUUGUUGUAAUGGAUCCAAAUUUGGAAAGUUCUUUACAUAUUUAAAAUGAUACAUGAGUGGUUCCAGAUUCUCCAUGGGCCUGAUUUCUGGCUGACCAAGGGAAUCUCUAUUUGUGUCCUUCUCAGGGCUUAGAUGCCUGCUGUGCUCACUCCUGCCGAGAGGCACGGCCACCAUCUGCAGCUCCUGGCUGCACUUUCUAAACAGCUGCCUGGGUCAGUUCUUUUGACUAAGAUAUAGCCGAGUUGUACAGUUUACAAAUGAAUGGAAAAUCAUCACCCUACCAAGUCUUAAAUGGUUAUGACUCCAUCACUCAAGAAACUUCAGGAAUCAACAUUUGGUGAUCUGAAAUACACUGAAGCGUCCACGUAGUGAUGUUUGUGUGUUAGAUUCUGCUCCAUUUUCCAAUGUCUUCCCCCAUUUUCAGUCAACUCUUCAUCUCUGCAGUGGUGGCUUUAAAACAUGUCUACAAAUGCCUUGACCGUCUUUCCAGUGGGAGGCAGAGUCUAACUCCCUGUCCCCCGAAUGUGGGCUGGCCUUUGGGAAGAAAAGAAUAAGGUUGAAGUGAUGCUGCCCAACUUCUAAACCCAGUUCCUAAAAGGAAACCUGGAUUAGAAGCAUGUGCUGCUCUCAGACCUGGCCUACAGAGAAGAACUGACACAGACUUCCUUAGAUGUGUUGUCUUCCUGUCACUGGUGCAUUCCUUAUCAAUGUGAAUCCAAAAUUCUUAUCAAGUUAUCUUCAAUCUAUGCAAGGAAAAUAUUUAUCCCAAAGGAGGAUUUUCAGAAGAUGACACAUGAGGGGCAUUCAUCACAGUCAAGUCUUUUGUUUUGAAAUACGGAAUCUGCAUACCUACUGCUUUCCAAGUUUUGUAAAAAAAAAAGAAGAAAAAAGCAAAAUGCUCUGAGAAUUAUCUAAUUCAUUUUUGCAUAAAGAAUUUCCAUUUUCUAUUUUUCCGUUGUCUAAUUCACUUGCAUAAAGAAUUUUCUUUUUCAUGUUUCAAUUCACAUCUAACAAAUGUUAUCAUACUUUUUCAAAUACUCUUUAUUUCAUUCACUGUAAUUCCAAUUGGCUUAGUUAAUAAUCUUACAUGUGUAAACCAUCCUCAGCCUUUAAAUAAGGUUCUUGUUCUGGGAUUAAAGAAAAAUUUUAAUCAAUCAAUUAAUUACUAAUUGCAUUUUGCAUUUAGCACCUACUGCCUCUGAAUUUUUUAACUGAAAAUAUACCUACUCUUAUAUUUUUAUUUUAGCGUUUAUUUUUCAAGUCUGCUAGUGACAAUCCAAAUUAUAUUUUUUAAUCCAGAUAUUUUUAAUUUAGAAAUUAGGAGAGGAAUUUUGGUAAGCCACACUAUCCUCUGAGGAGCAACUGAAUAUAUUAGAAUUCUAAAUGGUACCACACGAUGGGAAAAAAAUGGCAAAAAUAAUCCCAAAGUCUAUAUUAUGUUGAAAACUUCAAAUGAAAUUCUAAGUCUUCACUAACUGAAUGGACUCAUUUUUGGCCCAGCGGAUGCCAGAAAACCCUUAAGAUUGAAUUCCUGGACAUGACAGGAUGGGCGGUGAGGUAUGGCUCAUUAUACUCCCUCACUUUUGGGGUUUAGACACAACUGACCAGCAUAGAUGUUAAAAUACAGAUUAUAAGAAUGGCAGAACAGACUCUCUGACAAUACGAUAUCAAAUUAUAAACAGAACCUAAACCCAUGGCAGGCGAGGUUUAAGUCACUUACCUACCCUUGAAGAAUAAGCUUGUUCUCACUGCCAUAGCUUUUUUUUUUUUUUUUGUCUUUCUCUAGCAGCUAAAUAAGCACUGGCCUGGAGAUAAGCACUAGUGAAAGAAUUUGCAGCUCAUCCACUGCUGGACCCUGAUUAAGUGACCCCCUGUUCCACAAGCCAUGACUCCAGCUUUGACUGGACAAGAGACUGAUUUCAGUAGCUUUUUUUCAUAUAAGAAGACCAUUGACUGUGGAAUGAUUCCAGAGGCUGCACACUGUCAGGACUUCAUGUCCUGAAAAGACCUUUUGACAUGUACGGCCUGAUUGCAAUGCAUUUGAAUGUUGUCUCCACCCUAAAGUGAACAUGGAUCAUAUGUUACAUGCACGUUUGUUCAAUGCCCAUGUGGCAAGACCCCUUGAUGAAUAUUCGUAACUCCUCCUGUAACCUGUUGAAUAUGUAUGUCCUACCCCAACCCCUCCUCCUUCAUGGUGCCUGUCUUUGGUCUUGACUAGAGGCCAACCUGCAGGUUGGCCACCUGGCAGGCUGUAACCCUAAGAAAUAAAAACUUCUUUUCUCCUUUUCAAAAUGUAUAAAUUGUGAUUUCUAUUAAGUCAACAAUGUCCAGGAAUAAUGUUAUUCUUGAGACAGUUUUAUGAUCUGAGCUUUGUUCAAAAACUGGAAAAGUUACAAAGUAAAACCAUAAUUUUCUUUAGUGGGUUAACUGUGUGCCAAUUUAAAUUUAAUUUUUUCAGCUGUGUUGAGGAAAAAUUUAUGCCUCCGAAGCUGCACAUGUAGAAAUUUCACAAUUUGAAGAAUUUUCACAUAUGUAUGCUGGGUGAAACCACACCAUAAUCAAGAUACCCAACAUUUCUACCUUCCCCAAAAGUUUCUUCACACCGUUGUGCAUUCAUCUCUUCAUUCAACCCUUUCUCUGCAAUCAAUGGUUUACUUCUCGUCAGUAUGGAUUAAUUUGCAAUUUCAAGAAUGUUGUAUAAAUGAAAUUAUAGAGCAGUACGUUUUUGUCUGAUUUUAUUCACUCACAGAAUUAUUUCAAGAUCCAUCCAUAUUGUUGCAUGAUUCAGAAGGCUGCUCUUUUUAUAUUGCUGAGUAGUUUUCAAUGGAAUAUACUACAUUUUGUAUAUCCAUAAGCCUAUCAUGUGCAUUUUGGAAUGUUUCCAUUUUUUUGGUAAUUGCAAAUAAAACUGCAAUGAACACUCAUGUAUAAGUCUUUGUAUAGACAUGUAUGGCUUUCUUUCUUGGGUAAGUAAUUACUAGUGGCAGAGCUUCUAGUUAUAGUAGGUUGCUGUGGUAUGAAUGUGCAUCCCUCUAAAAUUCACAUGUUGAAAUCCCCUCCUCUAAAGUGAUGAUAUCAGGAGGUGGGGCCUUUGUGAGCUUAUUAGGCCAAGAGACUAUAGUCCUCAUGAAAGAGAUUAGUGCUCUUCUUUAUAUACAUAUAUGUAUGUAUUUUUUAAAUUAUACUUUAAGUUCUAGGGUACAUGUGCACAACGUGCAGGUUUGUUACAUAUGUACACAUGUGCCAUGUUGGUGUGCUGCAUCCAUUAACUCGUCAUUUACAUUAGGUAUAUCUCCUAAUGCUAUCCCUCCCACCUCCCCUCACCCCACAACAGGUCCUGGAGUGUGAGGUCCCCUUUCCUGUGUCCAGGUGUUCUCAAUGUUCAAUUCCCACCUAUGAGUGAGAACAUGCGGUGUUUGGUUUUUUGUCCUUGUGAUAGUUUGCUGAGAAUGAUUGAACAGGCAACCUACAGAAUGGGAGAAAAUUUUUGGAAUCUACUCAUCUGACAAAGGGCUAAUAUCCAGAAUCUACAAAGAACUCAAACAAAUUUACAAGAAAAAAAAAACCCCGUCAAAAAGUGGGUGAAAGGUAUGAACACACUUCUCAAAAGAAGAUAUUUAUGCAGCCAACAGACACAUGAAAAAAUGCUCAUCAUCACUGGCCAUCAGGGAUUAGUGCUCUUCUAAAACAGACUUCAGAGAGCUCCCUCACCCCUUCUGCCAUGUGAGGACAGUCAGAAGGUGCCGUCCAUGAACCAGGAAGCCGGUCCUCACUGGACCGCGAAUCUGCUGGCACCGUGAUCUUCAACUUCCAGCCUCCGCACCUGUGAGAAAUAAAUUUCUGUUUAUAAGCCACCCAGUCUGUGGUGCUUUGUUGUAGAAGCCCAAGUAGACUACGAGAUAGAUGUAUUUUUUACUUGUCAAAAAGAAUUGCCAAAUUUUUUCCAAAGCUGUCACACCAUACUCACCCACUGUUUGAGAGGUAUGUGUGUCCUAUGUCCUCACCAGUCCUUGGUGUGGUCACAGUCUUCAGUCUUUCCAGAAGGUGUUUGGUAGUAGCUUGCCUGUUUUAGUUUUAGGUUUUAUAUUAAUGUCUGUGAUCCAUUUCAAGUUACUUUUGGGGUUUCUACGGUGUGAGUAAAGCACCUGUGUCUAAUUUUCCAGCAUCAUUUUUUGAAAUAACUUUCUGCUUCCCAUUGAAUUGCCUUGAUAUCUUUGUCAAAAAUCUACUUAACAUACAUGUGUAGGUCAACUUCUAAACAAGUAGUUCUGAAUUAAGGGUAAUUUUUUGCCCAGUUGCCCCCUAGGGAACAUUUGUUAAUGUCUGCAGACAAUUUUGCUUGUCAUAACUGGAAGAUACUACUAUUAAAUAGCAUUUGUAUAUAGAGGUCAGAGAUGCUGAUAAAGUCCUACAAAUCACUGGGCAGCCCCACAACAAAGAAUUAUCUGUCCCCAAAUGUCAACAGGCCAAGAUUGAGAAGCAUUCUCUACACAUUCUCUGUAGUUUCAUAGACAUAGUCAUCUGUUUUUUCACCAAUACCACAUAGUCUUGUUUACUGUAGCUUUAGAGUCAGUUCUAAAAUCAACUGGAAUAAAUCCUCCAACUUUCUUCUGCUUUAAAAUAAAUCACUUUUUAUAUUUUAUCUUUAUAUAUAAAAAAACUAUAGUUUUUUAUAUUUCCAUGUGAGUUUUAGAUACAACUCAUCAAUUUUUAUAAAAGUCAUGCGUGUAUGUGUGGGUCUAUUUCUAGGUUUUCUAUUCUGUUCAAUUUAUCCACGUGUCUAUCCACUAUGAAUUACCACACAGUUGUGAUUAGUGCAUCAACAUAAGCCUGGAAACUGGAUUGAUUCCUCCCACUUCAUUUUUCCUUUAAAAAUUGUUUAUUUAUUCCUAUGUCUUUCUACAUAAGUUUGAGAAUAAACUUGUCUGCAUCCACAAAAAUUUUGCU